rnacentral:rRNA from 1 species
GAGUUUGAUCCUGGCUUCAGGAUGAACGCUAGCUACAGGCUUAACACAUGCAAGUCGAGGGGCAGCAUGAACUUAGCUUGCUAAGUUUGAUGGCGACCGGCGCACGGGUGAGUAACACGUAUCCAACCUGGCCGUUACUCGGGAAUAGCCUUCCGAAAGGAAGAUUAAUGCUCGAUGGUAUAUAUUUAUCGCAUGAUUUUUAUAUUAAAGAUUUAUCGGUAGCGGAUGGGGAUGCGUUCCAUUAGAUAGUUGGCGGGGUAACGGCCCACCAAGUCUUCGAUGGAUAGGGGUUCUGAGAGGAAGGUCCCCCACACUGGAACUGAGACACGGUCCAGACUCCUACGGGAGGCAGCAGUGAGGAAUAUUGGUCAAUGGACGCAAGUCUGAACCAGCCAAGUAGCGUGAAGGAUGACUGCCCUAUGGGUUGUAAACUUCUUUUAUACGGGAAUAAACGACACUACGUGUAGUGUUUUGCAUGUACCGUUAUGAAUAAGCAUCGGCUAAUUCCGUGCCAGCAGCCGCGGUAAUACGGAAGAUGCGAGCGUUAUCCGGAUUUAUUGGGUUUAAAGGGAGCGUAGGCGGGUUUUUAAGUCAGCUGUGAAAGUUUGAGGCUCAACCUUAAAAUUGCAGUUGAUACUGGAGACCUUGAGUGCGGUAAAGGUAGGCGGAAUUCGUGGUGUAGCGGUGAAAUGCUUAGAUAUCACGAAGAACUCCGAUUGCGAAGGCAGCUUACUGGGCCGUAACUGACGCUGAUGCUCGAAAGUGCGGGUAUCAAACAGGAUUAGAUACCCUGGUAGUCCGCACAGUAAACGAUGGAUACUCGUUGUUUGCGAUACAAUGUAAGCGACCAAGCGAAAGCGUUAAGUAUCCCACCUGGGGAGUACGCCGGCAACGGUGAAACUCAAAGGAAUUGACGGGGGCCCGCACAAGCGGAGGAACAUGUGGUUUAAUUCGAUGAUACGCGAGGAACCUUAUCCGGGCUUGAACUAUGGUGGACCGUUCCAGAGAUGGAUCUUCCCUUCGGGGCCGCCAUGGAGGUGCUGCAUGGUUGUCGUCAGCUCGUGCCGUGAGGUGUCGGCUUAAGUGCCAUAACGAGCGCAACCCUUUCCGUCAGUUGCCAUCAGGUAAUGCUGGGGACUCUGUCGGUACUGCCAUCGUAAGAUGUGAGGAAGGUGGGGAUGACGUCAAAUCAGCACGGCCCUUACGUCCGGGGCUACACACGUGUUACAAUGGGGGGUACAGAGGGCUGCCACUCGGCGACGAGGCGCCAAUCCCGAAAACCUCUCUCAGUUCGGACUGGAGUCUGCAACCCGACUCCACGAAGCUGGAUUCGCUAGUAAUCGCGCAUCAGCCAUGGCGCGGUGA